CGAGCCGCCGGCGUGGUGGGUGACGUGGCCGCCGAUGGACGGCGGCGGCGCGACGAUCGUGUCGCCCGGCUCGC
rnacentral:tRNA from 1 species